UACGUAGGGUGCGAGCGUUGUCCGGAAUUAUUGGGCGUAAAGGGCUCGUAGGCGGUUUGUCGCGUCGGGAGUGAAAACGCCGUGCUUAACACGGCGCUUGCUUUCGAUACGGGCAGACUAGAGGUAUGCAGGGGAGAACGGAAUUCCUGGUGUAGCGGUGAAAUGCGCAGAUAUCAGGAGGAACACCGGUGGCGAAGGCGGUUCUCUGGGCAUUACCCGACGCUGAGGAGCGAAAGUGUGGGGAGCGAACAGG
rnacentral:rRNA from 1 species